rnacentral:rRNA from 1 species
GGAAUCUUGCGCAAUGCGCGACAGCGUGACGCAGCAACACCGCGUGGGGGAAGAAGGCCUUCGGGUUGUAAACCCCUUUCAGGAGGGACGAAGGCCGGCCGGUGAAUAGCCGUGCCGGUUGACGGUACCUCCAGAAGAAGCCCCGGCUAACUACGUGCCCGCAGCCGCGGUAAUACGUAGGGGGCAAGCGUUGUCCGGAAUCAUUGGGCGUAAAGCGCGCGUAGGCGGCCCGAUAAGUCCGCUGUGAAAGUCAACGGCUCAACUGUUGAAUGCCGGUGGAUACUGUCGGGCUAGAGUCCGGAAGAGGCAAGUGGAAUUCCUGGUGUAGCGGUGGAAUGCGCAGAUAUCAGGAGGAACACCUAUAGCGAAGGCAGCUUGCUGGGACGGUACUGACGCUAAGGCGCGAAAGCGUGGGGAGCGAAC